AACUAUCUGACGAGUCCCAUAAUAGGACGAAACGGCCAUCCAAUGU
rnacentral:hammerhead_ribozyme from 1 species